GGCAAGGCCGGGCAGGAAGGGCUCCCAGCCACCACUGGGUGACUGUGCAGUUUCCUUUGCCAGGCUCUGAGACAAGGGGCCUUAUGGCUCAGAGGGAAAAGGCCCCAGUCAAGGGUUUCCUGAGCUCCUGCAGGAAAUCUCCUGGGUCCUUUCCUGGGCUGGUGUGUGUUUGGCAACAGAGCUGAGCCGGCUUCAGAAUAAGAGGGGAAGGCGGCCGUGACCGGAGAAAGGACUUGGAACCCAGGCCCUGACCCUGAGAAAUCGAGAUGUUGCCCAAGGGGCCCUCUCCCGUCCUCCUUCCCCCUCCAACCCUGAGCUCCUCAGUGGGCGGCCCAGGAAGGAGAAAGCUUCAGCCGCCUGCCUGCUCGGGUGGGGUGGACCCAUCAUCAACCAGCCCCACCCAGGGAUCCAAGUUUCUCUGUUUACGACUGUUUUCCUGGAACAGCUUGUUUUGAUCCAGAGAAAUCUGCUGACGCACUGCCUGCUCUCCUCCCUCUGGGCAGAGGACAUUCCUUUCCCAAACAAAACCGGCUGUGUGGAACCGGAGGCCCGGAGACCUUCUACACGAGGAUCCUCUGAAACUGCCAUUUCGUCCUUGAAAAUAAAGCAGGUGGACAGAGCAGCUCCAGACACGAGGGCACAAAGAACGGCCUUAUGUCCUUUUGCGAUGGCGAAUCCUAAGCCUUGUGGAACCCGAAUGCUUCGUGUUGCUAAUUCCACCUACUCCUACCUUUCUGAAAAAAUAAAAUCUAAAGACGUUUGUUUCUGGGAUUUGGGAAUCUGUAUGAAUGAGGGCGAUUCUUAGACCAGAGGUGGAGAAAAGCAAGCUUUCAGGCUGGGCCCAGGAAGCAAUGACACAGUGGUGACUACCACCUCUCAGGCACCUUGUAGAUAAAUAAAGGGCUGACCCCACAGCCUGGUACUGUGACGCGGCAGGAAAGGAAUCUGCUUGGUAUUAUUCACGCUGUACAGCUUUCUAAAACAUUGUGACUGGCAAUUCUCUCUUCCCACACUGUUCUCUCAGGCCUAGUCUCUCCAAUCGACCCCUGGAAAUGUUGCCAGGACAAGGCUGCGGGGGCAGAUCUCGAGGAAAGGUGAGAGGCCAGAAUCUUUCCCGGACGGGGGAGCUCGGCUAAGCAGCCAUUGGGGAACAAGCCCGGGCUUGCCACAAACUCAGUCAUCAAUGCUGACGGUCACAUGAGAGUCAUGAGAUGAGUUUUGCAAGAACCACAAGGAGGGGCCCAUCUGCAGAUGCCAUCUCACUGAGGCUGGGGAAGAAAUCUUCCGCAGUUUCCUCCCAGUUGCCAAAGGAGGCUGUCGUCAGGAAAUGUUUUGUUUGGGGCUCGGGUGGUUACCCUGGGAGGAGGCUUUCCGGGACGGAGUUGGUCUAAGGAGCCAUCCUCGCUUGUGGUUAACCUGACCACACAGUCCUCCUUCCACUCUAUGUA